rnacentral:rRNA from 1 species
GAUCUCAAAUCAGGUAGGACUACCCGCUGAACUUAAGCAUAUCAAUAAGCGGAGGAAAAGAAACUAACAAGGAUUCCCCUAGUAACUGCGAGUGAAGCGGGAUGAGCUCAAAUUUAAAAUCUGGCGUGCCUCUGGUC